AUUGAACGCUGGCGGCAGGCCUAACACAUGCAAGUCGAACGAGUGGCGGACGGGUGAGUAAUGUCUGGGAAACUGCCCGAUGGAGGGGGCUAACUACUGGAAACGGUAGCUAAUACCGCAUACCAUCGGAUGUGCCCAUAUGGGAUUAGCUUGUAGGUGAGGUAACGGCUCACCUAGGCGACGAUCCCUAGCUGGUCUGAGAGGAUGACCAGCGAAACUGGAAAUGAGACACGGUGCAGACGCCGACGGGAGGCGGCAGUGGGGAAUAUUGCACGAGGGGCGGAAGUCUGAUGAAGCCAUGCCGCGGGUAUGAAGAAGGCCUUCGGGUUGUAAAGUACUUUCAGCGGGGAGGCGUUACCCGCAGAAGAAGCACCGGCUAACUCCGUGCCAGCAGCCGCGGUAAUUC
rnacentral:rRNA from 1 species